UACGGAGGGUGCGAGCGUUGUCCGGAAUCACUGGGCGUAAAGGGCGCGUAGGUGGCUGGGGAAGUCGGCGGUGAAAGCCCGGAGCUCAACUCCGGGUCGGCCGUCGAGACUCCUCGGCUCGAGCUCACUAGAGGCAGAUGGAAUUCCGGGUGUAGAGGUGAAAUUCGUAGAUAUUCGGAAGAACACCAGUGGCGAAGGCGACUUACUGGACACAUAUUGACGCUGAGGUGCGAAAGCGUGGGGGAGCAAACAGG
rnacentral:rRNA from 1 species